ensembl:lncRNA
GUCCCUUAAAUAACCCUGGGUCCGUUUCACGAAGCAGGUUCAACAAACUCUGUGUAACCUUGAACUCUGAGUUGAUCUACUCUGAGAUACGAAACUCUGACUUUUCGGUUUCACAACGGCUGAUUUGAGUUGGUUUAAUCACCUCGGAGUAGUUUCACCCAGAGUGCACCGCAACUAUAAAAAGACAGCAUCAAUGGAACCCCGAUUCGACGACUCACCGUGGUGACGGGGGAGCGGAGAGCUACGUUUUUUACACCACUUGAAGUGGACAUCUUAAUGCGUUCAUAUGGCGACUUCGAACACGUUUUUAGAAAGAAGUGCAACACCUGCAGCUGCAAAAGAGAGGGAGACGGCGUGGGAGAACAUUGCUGCCCGAGUCAAUGCGCAAGUUUAAAUCACAAUAAUAUUACAGGAAAACUGUUUAAUAGCAGUCUAUUCUGUUAUUUCAUUUAGGUGCAGUCCUGCGGGGGAGAAGCGCAUGUGGCAGCAGCUGUAGAUGAAAUAUAAGAACAUUGUUCAAACAGGUAAGAAGUCGGCAUAAUCUCAUGGAGCUACCUCAUUUUGAUCAUGUUUUACAUUGUAAAGUAGCUUAAUUAUUAAGUGGCUGUUUGACUGUGCAGUGGUUCUAUCACACACAUAGCCUAAAUGUCUGCAUCCAUAUCAUGUUCUGUCAAACAAUUAAGCCCAUUUAAACUAACACAGACUUCUACUCAGCCAACAGAAAGAAAGCAGAUGCCUGUAAAAAGGGAGGUGGCCCAGCACCACCACCUGUAACGGAGGCAGAGGAGCUGCUCCUAAGCCAGAAUUUGGGAAGGCCAGUGGCUGAGGGAAUUCCUGGAGGGAGCUCAUUCUCUGAGACCACAUCCCAAGACACAAGCAAGAGGAAAAGGUGCAACAGAAAAUUGGACCUUCCAAGCGUACUUGUGGAGAUGCAGGCUGAGAAGGAGCGGAACCGUGCCCAGCAUGAUGAGAACAUCUGGUUGCCCCUCAGCGAGGCAAGAGAGAAUGAAGCGGCCUUGCAGCGGGAGGAGAUGGCCCAGAAUGCUGCCUUCAACCAGUCAUUCCUGGGUGUACUGGGGCAGCUGGUGCAGGCAGUGGGCAGCCAGCGAGUCCACCUCCCAGAGACUUGAGAUUUAGUUGUAUAUAGUUUUACUUUUAGCCCUCCACUGUAGGAGAGGCCCACCACAGUUUGUACUUUGCACAUUGUAAAUAGUUUUGAUUUUGCUGCUGACUAAUAAACUAUUUUGUGACUUA